UUUUGUCUCCCUACACAGCAGCCCUGUGGCAUCAGCGCGUGCGCCGAAAGGAGGCAAAACGAACAAUUCGCCGUCGCUUGCUCCCUGGUGCGGAUUCAGACGGUUGUCGUGUUGCCUUUUUUCCCUCUCUCAGCCCUAGCCAGGAAUACCACGCUAUCGUUGUCGUACAAAAGCACACCCACACGCAGAAGAAGGGAGUGAGUGGGGAAGGUGCACUGGAAGAACGGCACGCGUACCCCUACAUAAGCUCGAAACACUGUAAUAGCCACAGCAAUAGAGAACACAUACACAUAACACGCACACGCACCUUUUUCUGCCAUUUUCAUACAUCAUUGGCGCACGCCCGCCUUGAUCUCCCGAUUCGUUUCCGCUGUCCUUGGACGCACUAACGCCGAUGGAACACGCCGAAGCACCCUCUCACUCACGCAUACGCUCCGUCGUCUCCACACGUCUCUUGUCAUUCCCCGUCGCUGAAGUAUCCGUAAAAAGCCGCUGGUGUCGGCAUCUUCGAUGAAAAUAGCGGUGGGAGAAGCAAACAGGUAUGCAGAAAAAAAAAGGACAAAAAGGGGAAGUGAAUCGAGUUGUCACAGGCUGGAUGAUCUGAACUCGCACAUCCGUGGAAAAGGUGGCCAACUAUAAUGGAAAGUGCGCGCACAGGCUAAAGGGAGCAUCGUUAUCGGCAUUCGCCUGUCUUCCGUUACUCUUCGCAUUUGUUUCGCCUCUUUUGAGUGCUUUCCUUUUUUUUUAAUGCUUUCUGGUGCACCGGUACGCAACACAAACUGCCUCUAUCUUGCAG
rnacentral:misc_RNA from 1 species